UCUGGCCCAAGCGAGGUACAUACUCAACACAACGGGCUUGAAACUAGCCCAUUAGAAACACGCACCGAGCGACCAAAAAGAGACAGAGCACCUCCCAAACACCAAAACGAUUUUGUUGUGGAUCUCCCCCCUUCGGUCGACCACGCACACACCGCUCCAACUCAAGAUGCCUCAACGCCAUGCAGGAUCCUAAUUGGGUUGAAGCCAUGCAACGAGAUAUUCAAGCCCUUGAAAAGAACAACACAUGGUCUAUCGAGUCCUUGCCAGA
rnacentral:lncRNA from 1 species